GUGGUCCCUCGUACCAAUCGAUCGAAUUCUAGUCGCAAUUCUCUGUCUGUCCCUCGGCUCUGGGGAGAAAGGGGGGGCUGUGGCGUGGGGGCUGAGGAGGGGCUAAGGCGGGAGGGGCGCCUCAUCCCUUCACCCUCCCUUUUCGCCAUGUGGGGGCCCUGAGCGCCGCCCCAGAAGAGGUCGAGGGAAUGUUGUGGGCUGGGGCACACCAGCACGGCAGAAACUGGAGAAAGCGAGAGACGUCGCCAGGGACCCAGGGACCUCUCCCUCCAGUUCCCCGGGCCCGCCCGGCCCUGAUGGCCACUCACGCUAUAGCGCCCACUCUGUCCUGGGCCAUCCCGCGCCAGCAGUGUAGCCCCCAGCCCGGGCGCCUGAAUGCUCUCCCUCCGGAUCGCUGCUCGGGUCCCCACUUUGGCGACCGUGCCCCCGAGUCCUGCUUCCCCGGGGCCUGCUCUGUAUCAGGCGCCUGCGCCUUCAAGGGUACCCGGCCCGCCUGCCCUCCCCAAGAGCCGAGUUUGCGCUCCUCCCGGAAUCGUUUGAGAGAAGGACAAACUUUUGGCAGGAUGGAAAUCUAGAUGAGCCUGUCCGGAGCAGAACACCCCUGAUUAGCCAGGCCCACCGCCAUCCACAUCUGCUCGGCAAAGAAGGAAGGCAGCUUGUUCCAGACCUUGGUGAGCAGCUGCAGACUGCCUGCCUAGAACAGCCUCCUUACUCCAGCCUGGCAGGGAAGGAAGGAACCUGACUUGCUUCGCAGGAUCUGGAAGCUCAGCCGGCAGAGCUGAGAGCCGCAGUUGCAUCCUGGAGCCUGAUGCUAGAAGCAGCUUCCGUCUUUGGGUUCUUGCUGCCUCGGCCUCUGCUCUGUUCAGUUUGCUGUUGUGUUUUUCUCCCCCAUGUUGGGGUGGUGGGGUACAGGGAAAUAAAAUGCUUUCUCCCAGGCCCCUAAUCCUUCCCCAUGCCUCCAUCAGCCUCAAAGCUGCUGACAGUCAUGAACUGCACCUUCCAGCCCUGCCCAUAAGCUACUCAAAGCAAAUUCAAAUUCUCUUCUGGCCAGGAGGAAGGGCAGAUGCUCCCUCCUUCCUCAAGCCUCCCUGGCUCAUUGAUCCAUUUUGAGGGCAUUUGGGGGUCAAAGUUGAGACCAGAUUGCUUCAGUUUGUAUAAAAUUAGCAUUUCUUAUCACACCAAGGCCACACCUGUUCUCUGGCCUCACAAACCAGUGAGGAUGUAAAGGUUUGUUGAGGUGGAGGAACAGAAGUGAAAUGAGCAAUCUGCUCCAUUUAGAAGUCAGUCGCUUCGGCUGUUCAUUCCACUAAUAUUUAUCUAGUACCUAUUCUGUGCCAAGCAUUGUCUCUACCUCAGUUUGCCACAAAUAUGAAAAAAAAAAAAUUCUUGGAACUGUGAGGCUUCAAUGUGUUGUGGACCAAUAUACAAAUAAACCAAUGGAAAAGAAAGUGUGGUUCGGAGU
ensembl:lncRNA LINC02381 long intergenic non-protein coding RNA 2381